ensembl:snRNA U6 U6 spliceosomal RNA
GUGCUCGCUUCGGCAGCACAUAUACUCAAACUGGAACGAUCCAGAGAAGAUUAGCACGGCCCCUGCGCAAGGACAGAGGAUAAGGUGGUGGUCCUCAGCCUUUU